rnacentral:rRNA from 1 species
GAUGAACGCUGGCGGCGUGCCUAAUACAUGCAAGUCGAGCGAACGGACGCGAAGCUUGCUUCUCUGAUGUUAGCGGCGGACGGGUGAGUAACACGUGGAUAACCUACCUAUAAGACUGGGAUAACUUCGGGAAACAGGAGCUAAUACCGGAUAAUAUUUUGAACCGCAUGGUUCAAAAGUGAAAGACGGUCUUGCUGUCACUUAUAGAUGGAUCCGCGCUGCAUUAGCUAGUUGGUAAGGUAACGGCUUACCAAGGCAACGAUGCAUAGCCGACCUGAGAGGGUGAUCGGCCACACUGGAACUGAGACACGGUCCAGACUCCUACGGGAGGCAGCAGUAGGGAAUCUUCCGCAAUGGGCGAAAGCCUGACGGAGCAACGCCGCGUGAGUGAUGAAGGUCUUCGGAUCGUAAAACUCUGUUAUUAGGGAAGAACAUAUGUGUAAGUAACUGUGCACAUCUUGACGGUACCUAAUCAGAAAGCCACGGCUAACUACGUG